rnacentral:rRNA from 1 species
AUUGAACGCUGGCGGCAGGCUUAACACAUGCAAGUCGAGCGGAGUGAUGGUGCUUGCACUAUCACUUAGCGGCGGACGGGUGAGUAAUGCUUAGGAAUCUGCCUAUUAGUGGGGGACAACAUCUCGAAAGGGAUGCUAAUACCGCAUACGUCCUACGGGAGAAAGCAGGGGAUCACUUGUGACCUUGCGCUAAUAGAUGAGCCUAAGUCGGAUUAGCUAGUUGGUGGGGUAAAGGCCUACCAAGGCGACGAUCUGUAGCGGGUCUGAGAGGAUGAUCCGCCACACUGGGACUGAGACACGGCCCAGACUCCUACGGGAGGCAGCAGUGGGGAAUAUUGGACAAUGGGGGGAACCCUGAUCCAGCCAUGCCGCGUGUGUGAAGAAGGCCUUUUGGUUGUAAAGCACUUUAAGCGAGGAGGAGGCGCUCUAGGUUAAUACCCUAGAUGCGUGGACGUUACUCGCAGAAUAAGCACCGGCUAACUCUGUGCCAGCAGCCGCCGUAAGAC